rnacentral:lncRNA from 1 species
UUCCCAACUUAUUUUAUUCUUUUUUUUUUCCCAAACUCCAAAUCAAAAUCAUCGUUUCUUUUUUCUCUUCUCUCUUUUGACGAAAUGGCAAAUUGAUUUCAUUUUUCUGCCAACCGAUCUUCCUGCGAUUAAAUCGCAAAUCGAUUCCGCUGGUGGUGAUACCUCCAUAAUUUGGUCUCUCGACACGAUUCUGCUGCUGCUGGUCUCGUUUUUUCAAAUUUUGUCACUGGAUCUGCUGCACGAUUGAUUUUCUGGUUUGAUUUACCUAAUAAUAAUACAUAUAAGUAAUUAUAUGUAUAAAGAUUCUUUUUGUUUCCUUGUUCUGAUUUUUAGGAUUUUUUUUGCUGGAUUGGCUAGGUCUUUAUUCUCUGGUUUGAUUUGUUAUUUUCUAUCGAUUUUCAUGGCAUCUACUGAUCUAAUGAAAAUUGCCACGAUUUUCACUGUUAAAACCGUGAAAUUAACAAAAACAAAUUACAAUAUUUGGAGGCCCCAAAUUUUUAGGAUUUUAAAAGGAAGCAAAAUCUUAGGAUUUGUGGAUGGAUUCAUAGUUUUUCCAGAUGCUAUGCCAAAUACUGAAGGGGUUUUACCAAAGAAUCUGCAAGGUUUAACAUAUGCAGAGUGUGAAGAGCAAGAUAAUUUGCUCAUGAGAUGGCUAAUGACUGCAAUAACUGAAGAGGUUCUUCCCAAAGUAUGUAAGUGCACUUCUGCCAAACAAAUUUGGGACACAUUAGCCAAGGUAUUUGCGUCUAAUUCACAGAUGAAGACAUUGCAAUUACGUCUGAAUUUGCAGACAACAAAGAAAGGCAACAAAUCUAUGGAAGAUUAUAUUACCAAUAUGAUAGAUAUUGCGAAUGCUUUAGCCCUUGCUGGUGAUAAGGUUUCUGACAAAGAUCUGGCCCUGUUUGUUCUUGGUGGACUUGGAUCUGAUUAUGAUCCUUUGGUGACAGCAAUUAUCACAAGACCAAGCAAUGAAGCAUUUUCCAUAGAUGGCAUACAAGGCAUUCUUCUAAAUCACGAGAUAAGACUAGCAUCGAAUAUGACACAUUUUGUGAAAAACUCAUUCUCAGUAAAUUAUACCAAUAGACAGAGGUAUAAUUAGAAUCAAAACUCAUAUGCUAAUAAUAAUAAAAAUCAAAAUUUUAGCUUGCCAAAACAAUCCUCAAAGGUGACUCCCUACUCUUAUAUGAUAUGUCAAAUCUGUGAGAAGAGAGGCCACAUUGCCUCUAGUUUCUAUAACAGGUUCAAUAAGUCUUUCAACAUAGGUCAUAAUAAGCAAGCACAUAUAGUAUUUGAGGAAGAGGAUGUGGGGAGUGAUACAACUAUGUGGUUUCCUGACUCUGGAGCUUCAACCCACAUUACUUCUGAUUUUGAGAAUCUGAGUUUUGCAGCUCCAUAUGAAGGAGGUGACAAGGUCACCAUUGCCAAUGGUACUGGUAUGGAUAUUCUUCACAUCGGAACUUCUCACUUUAAUUGUAAUAAUAAGAAAUUAUUUUUAAAGGAUCUCUUACAUAUUCCUGCUACAUCAAAGAACUUAAUUUCUGUUCAAAAUUUUUGUCAAGAUAAUAAUGUUAUCUUUGAAUUUGAUGAAUCUAAGGUGGUGGUGAAAGAUAAAAGCACAAAUGAAGUCUUGAUUAAAGGAGAUGCUAGGGAUGGGCUAUACUCCUUUUCUACUCACAGUGCAGGUUCAUCCAUCUCACAUCAUGCUUUUCUUUGUGAAAAUGCCUCAUUAAAUAAAUGGUAUCUUAGAUUUGGGCAUAUUAAUGAAAACAUAACUAGGAAAAUUUGUAAUAAAUAUGACUUGCCUAUUUUAAACAACAAAUUUGAUAAAUGUAUUUCUUGCUCAAUUAGUAAAUGCUAUAAACUUCCUUUUUAUCUUCUGAUUAUUCUGUUAAUCGGCCCCUAGAAUUGGUUUUUAGUGAUGUUUGGGGACCAUCUCCCCACACUUCACCACAAGGCUUUAGAUAUUAUGUUAACUUUAUUGAUGUAUUCAGCAAAUACACUUGGAUCUUUCCGAUUCAGUGUAAAUCAGAGGUAUUUUCAAAAUUUCGAGAGUUUAAAACCAAUAUUGAAAAUCAGUUAGAUUUGAAAAUAAAAGCAAUACAAACGGAUAAUGGUGGGGAAUAUAAAAAUAACUUUUUAAAAUCAUAUUUAAUUAAAUAUGGAAUUACUCAUAGGUUUUCUUGCCCCCACACACAUGAACAAGUAGGAGUUAGUGAAAGGAAACAUAGACACAUUGUGGACAUGGGUCUAGGUUUACUAGAAAAAUCUACUCUACCUUUGAAUCUAUGGCCUUAUGCCUUUAUAAGUGUUGUAUAUUUAAUCAAUCAUUUACCAACUAAUAAUUCUCCUGAGUCACCUCAGGAGACCUUAUUCAACAAAAGUCCAGAUUAUAAAUUUUUCAAUGUUUUUGGUUGUACAUGUUUCCCCAAUCUAAGACCAUACAGAUUACAUAAUUUUUUUUUUCGAUCUGAAAAAUGUGUAUUUCUUGGAUAUUCCCUGAAUAACAAAGGAUAUCUUUGUUAUAAUCCUUUAAAUGGGAAAAUAAUAAUAUCUAUAGAUGUGAUCUUCCAUGAGGAUGAUUUCUCAACUGCAAUGAUGAUUAGUAAAAAUCAAGUGCAUGAGAAAUUUGAAUUUACAGAUGUUAUUAAUAAGCUUGUUGUCAUUAGACCAGGAAUAGUUCAUGAUCAGAUAAAUCAAGAAGAGAAUAGAGGAAGUUUAAGUAAUGGUCAGGAAGAGAAAGCAUCAUCAAACAAUUGAAAACUCUGGUAUAUCUGUUCCUUCUUCGAAUACUAUAUCAUCUACAAAUGAAUCUAUUUCUGAUUUUGCAACUAAUGAUAUUAGAAAUAUUGAGUCUAGAAUAGUAACUAGAAGUAUGAAUGACAUUUAUAAACCAAAUCCAAAAUAUACUCUUUCGGUGUCAUUAAGUGAAAAAACACCUAGUUGUUUCACACAAGCCAAAGCAAACCCAAAAUGGGUAACUGCAAUGACUGAAAAUAUAAUGCUCUGUUGAAUGCCUCAACAUGGGAGCUAGUUAAGCAAAAACCUAAUAUGAACAUUAUAGGAUGUAAAUGGGUUUUCAAAAUAAAGCAAAAAUCAGAUGGGACUAUUGAUAGGUACAAGGCCAGAUUAGUGGCCAAAGGAUACAAUCAGAGGAAAGGAAUAGAUUAUGAAGAGACCUUUUCUCCUGUUGUGAAACCACUAACAAUUAUAAUAAUUUUCUCAAUAGCUGUAUCUAACAACUGGAUAAUAAAGCAAUUAGACAUAUCCAAUGCUUUUCUAAACGGGAACUUAAAAGAACUAGUGUAUAUGACACAAUCACCUGGUUUUGUCAAUCCAGAACAAAAAGAUCAUGUUUGUCUCCUAAAGAAGUCCCUUUAUGGUCUGAAACAAGCCCCUAGGGCUUGGUUCGAAAGACCGAGGUAUUUUCUGAUUGAACUAGGUUUCACCGACAAUAUCUCAGAUCUAUCAUUAUUCACUAAAGUCACACCUAAGGGUAAAAUGUUCUUUCUCAUAUAUAUGAAUGAUAUAAUCCUUACUGGUUGUAAUCCUAUUGAGGUAGAAGAAAUGGUGGGUUCUCUAAAUAACGAGUUUAAGCUUAAAAACAUGGGUAGACCUUCAUAUUUUUUAGGAGUAGAGGUCAUAUAUAAUAGAUCUGGAGUUCACCUAAACCAGACUAAGUAUAUGAAAGAGUGCUUACUGAUCAAGUUUGGGUUUGAAACAAUCAAACCUUCUAAAACGCCAAUCUCUAAAAAUAGCUUGAUUUAUACAGAACCAGGUGAGCAACUUUCUGAUCCCAAAAUAUAUAGAAGUGUUGUAGGUAGUCUUAAAUAUCUAGCCAUAACAAGACCCGACAUUGCCUUUGCUGUAAACAAAGUUUGUCAGUUCAUAUCUAGUCCUUGUGAAACUAAUUGGAUUGAGGUAAAGAAAAUAUUUAGAUACCUGUCAGGAACUUUAAAUCACGGACUUGCUAUUAGAGCAAUCAAGAACUCUAAUAUUCAGGUUUUUUCUGACAGUGACUGGGCAGGAGAUAAACUAGAUUGUAAAAGUCAAGGAGGUUUCUUAGUCUUUCUAGGAGCAAAUCUAAUCUCUUGGAACUCAAAGAAACAACCAACAGUAUCCAAAUCCAGCUGUGAGACUGAAUUUAGGAGUCUAACCAUAGCAACUCAGGAAUUAAUCUGGGUACAACAACUACUAAAAGAGCUUGGUUUUGAAACAACCAUUCCCACACUAUGGUGUGAUAACAUGGAAGCAUUACAUCUUUCUGCAAAUCCUCUAUAUCACGCAAGAACAAAACAUAUAGGAGUAGAUUUUAAUUUUGUUAGAGAAAGAGUUAGAGACAAACAAUUAUUGGUUAAAUACAUUCCAACAACAGAACAAUUAACAGAUAUCCUGACCAAACCUUGGGGAACUUCAAUUUUUUCAAAAUUUAAAGAUAAAUUGGUCAUUGGAGUACAACAUAAGAUGGUCCGAUCCUCUAUUAAUCAAUAAAUAAAUUCAUCUUAACUUCCCUUACUUAUUACGUGAAAUACUUCAAUUGUAUGGUGUAUGAAAUGUUUAGAUAUAUGCAGGUUGUAUGAAAUACUCUAUUUUAAAUGAUGUGGUGGUUGUAGGUGUUUUUUCUAUGAUUUUGUCUGCAGAAAAUUUAUAUGUUGCAGAUCAUUGGAAUACCUUUGAAUUAAGUCUGGAUUUUCAGAAAUCAUAUACUCAAAUUUAAGUCCAUUCUACAAUCAUAUAUUUCUACAAUAUAUUUUUUGAACUAAAUACUAGUAAUCCAUGUGCAUGGUUUGUUUGUUUGUUUUUGCAUAUCACUAUCUUAUAGGAUACAAUCUCUCAAUGGAUUACUAUCAUUUCCUUUUCUCUUGGUUUUGUUUUUUGAGGAGAAUAUUUGUGUAUUUGUUAUGAUGGGUAGGUUUUUCCCGGAGAAAGAUGGGAAAGACCACACACAUUCAAAAGAUGCCAAAAGAGCACACCCGGAUUUUUUCAUCUACCCAUCAUCCUAUUUACUCUGAGUUAGAAGGAGUUAAACUUCUCUGCUAUAUUCACAACAAGAUGGGAGUAACAAGAUGAUUCUUGGUGACUACUUUAUAAGUUCGAGAAUUGUACACAAAUCAAGAUUCUGCACUCAAAGAUUUAGUUUCAGAAUGCUAGAUUUGAGGGGGAAUAUUAGAUAAAUAAUAUAUAUAAGUAAUUAUAUGUUAUUAUAUGGAUAUAUUGUAAAACUAACCAAACUAAUAGAUAUGUUAAGAUAGAAUAAAUAUGGUUAAGAUAGAAUAAAUAUAAAUAUGUUAAGUAUUGUAUAAUUGAAAAUGGUUGAACUAAAGUUUGAAUGAAUGAUCACAUUUGUUUUGAUAGUCUAAUAUGAAGAACUCAGU